CCGGGAGUGUGGGCGGGGCUUGGGAAAGAGGUCGAUCCAGUCAGUGAUCCCACUGCCAUGAGCCUCCCAGUAAUGGCGCCCACUGUCGAUGUAGACAUUUCCCGUGACACCGUAGCUGCUGUGGCUGGAGAAGCGGUCCUGACUAUGGCUCUUCUUGGACGAUGUCUCAUCCCUCUCUACUGUCAGGUUGUCAUGGGACACCCUCAGCUUCCGUUUUAAACCACCUCUUCUCUGCCAAAUGUCAAAUCAAUGCGUACUGCUCUAAGCAACCGAGUCUGCUAUGCCUGCGACCAGCCAACCACACCAAAGUGAGUGACCACGCUGGCGAAGAAGAAUGCCUCUCAGUGCUGGAUAUUGCUAAAAAUUCAACAAUGGUUUCCUUCUAAAAUGAGAAACGGGCUUUGACACUAAACAGAAUAAAGCUUCUUCACCAGCUGUGAAAGUGCUUUCUAAAUCAAAAUGCAGUGGACUUGAACUAGUUUUACUGAAGACAUCAAAUGUAGUAAGUUAGUAAUUAAUACAGUCAUAUUUAUGUUUGAACAGGUUAACUAGUAGUCUUUAUUCUAUAACCUUUCAAAAAGAACUUUUACAACACUGAUUGUGAUUUUUAUAAAACUUUAAAAGUACCCACAUACCGUGUGCCGCCGAGCUGUUCUAGUAUAAGUUCUCUAAUGCCCAUGUUUGGAAAUUUAUAUCACGAGAACAUGCAAGGCGUACGUCAAAGUCAAGAGGUGAAACUAAUACCUGCCAAAUACACGAGUGCAAUCUCUUUUUAAUUAGGCUUACACAAGGUCAUAACAGUGAAAUGAAGAAAAUUAAACAUAUCCGUUUUCUACUAUCACUGAAAAUAAAUAUUUCAGCACUGUGGUUGAGUAUCCCACCGUCACCUCGUUAUAGAGUAGUCCUGGGUCUUAAUUUCAUUUCCUUCUCUUGUUUUCCACGUGUUUACAUGGGUUUCUUCCCACGGUUUUAAUCUAGCUGGUUUGAUCAGCUCAAGCUUUACAACGUCUGCAUGAGUGUUUCGUAUGUUUACAUAUAAGCUCUGUGAUUAUCUGGCAAAAAAGGGGGUUUUCCUUAAUGCUUCUGCCUUUCCUAUGACUUUAAUAGGAAAUAUAAGAAAAUAUAAGAUGGAUAGAUAUUUAGAUUUAUUUAACUGGGAUCAUGUCACAUAAAUGAGGCUGAAACACAGACACGCACACAAAGACACACAUGUGUGCCUUUACAAGUCACAGUAUCCCUUUGUCUGGGAAUUUGCGAGAAAUGUGAGGCACUGUGGCUAUAAACAUGUGCUUGAAAAA